UCGCGUAAUGCGCCGUAGGCAGGAGCGGGGGACCCAAGGUAAGCGCCGAGUCCGGGCAGUUGACGCCGGAUCCGGCUUGGGGUGAAGCCGUGUCCCGGGAGGGGCGCGGCCGGGCAACUCAACCGGCCCGAACCCGACAGCUCACCUCGCAGGCGUCGGUGAGGGGAUCC
rnacentral:sRNA from 2 species